UGAGAGGAGGUGAUCCGUUUUCCCUUGUUCAGAGGGUGUAGCUUCUUACGACAGGAGGUAAGUGAUGUUCUUGAAUAUGUUUUCUGAAGGUUUUAGGGGGAUUGGUGGAAGGAGAUGCAUGUUUAGGUUCUUAAUGAUAGUUUUGAUGAGUUAUGCAUGUAUACAUGUUUAUGUGUUAUGUUUGAUUUGUUGUUUGGGGUUAUUAGAUAGUUUUGGACCCCUGUGAUCAUAUACUUAUGUAUAUGUGUGAUGAGGAGUUGGUAUAUGCAUGUUUGGAGUUAUUGAAGGGAAGGAGGUGAUAGUUUGUCGUUGAAGCUGAGUUCUGGAUGAACUCAGGUUCGGCAGCCGAAGGUUCAUUCGGCCGCCGAACCUCCUGCAUGGUGGCUUGAUUGCCACAGCUUGCCCCCGAGUGUUUUUGCAUGUUCGGCUCUGUUUGGGGGAUUCGGCCGCCGAAGGUGCCGCCGAAGGUGCUUGAGUUUCGUCUCUGGAGAGGACAUUCGGCCGCCGAACCUGCCGCCGAAAGUGUUCUGUCCAGCUUUCCUUUGCUUGCUUUGUAUGACUAUUAGAGUGAGUGUAAGGGGAUUCUUGGGGAGUUUAAUAGAGUUGGUCAUAAGCUUGUUUGGUCCCUCAUUUGAGUCUUUAUGUGCUUAUACAGACCAGAGGAACCAGAGAGAGCAGCAGUGAGUACUGCUCCAGAGAUUCAGAACCUGCAGAGUCAGUCAGUCCAGUUAGCCAGAGGUGAGUGGAACUAAACUUAUGACUUUUAAUUGAAUCACAAACUGCUUUUAGCAUAUCUCAUGCAUCAUGAUUAUGCCAUAGGUUGAUUGCAUUAGUAUACACGAAUAUGUUGCAUUGCAUUGUUAUUUGGUGAUGUGAGUAAAUGCUGAAUGAUCCAAUAGUCACAGACAGGAAGUCCAGGAGCCUUUGACUACGCCCUGGCACGUAUAGCAAAGUCCAGGAGCCUUUGACUACGCCCUGGCAAUGGUAAGUACAGAGGUGUUAU
rnacentral:lncRNA from 1 species